UGGGGAAUAUUGCACAAUGGGCGCAAGCCUGAUGCAGCCAUGCCGCGUGUAUGAAGAAGGCCUUCGGGUUGUAAAGUACUUUCAGCGAGGAGGAAGGCGUUGUGGUUAAUAACCGCAACGAUUGACGUUACUCGCAGAAGAAGCACCGGCUAACUUCGUGCCAGCAGCCGCGGUAAUACGGAGGGUGCAAGCGUUAAUCGGAAUUACUGGGCGUAAAGCGCACGCAGGCGGUCUGUCAAGUAGGAUGUGAAAUCCCCGGGCUCAACCUGGGAACUGCAUCCGAAACUGGCAGGCUAGAGUCUUGUAGAGGGGGGUAGAAUUCCAGGUGUAGCGGUGAAAUGCGUAGAGAUCUGGAGGAAUACCGGUGGCGAAGGCGGCCCCCUGGACAAAGACUGACGCUCAGGUGCGAAAGCGUGGGGAGCAAACA
rnacentral:rRNA from 1 species